rnacentral:rRNA from 1 species
GGCCUAACACAUGCAAGUCGAGGGGUAACAGGGAGCUUGCUCCGCUGACGACCGGCGCACGGGUGCGCAACGCGUAUGCAAUCUACCUCUUACUAAGGGAUAGCCCAGAGAAAUUUGGAUUAAUAUCUUAUGUGAUAUGUGACUGGCAUCGGUUACAUAUUAAAGGUUACGGUAAGAGAUGAGCAUGCGUCUCAUUAGUUAGUUGGUAAGGUAACGGCUUACCAAGACUUCGAUGAGUAGGGGUCCUGAGAGGGAGAUCCCCCACACUGGUACUGAGACACGGACCAGACUCCUACGGGAGGCAGCAGUGAGGAAUAUUGGACAAUGGACGGAAGUCUGAUCCAGCCAUGCCGCGUGUAGGAAGACUGCCCUAUGGGUUGUAAACUACUUUUAUACAGGAAGAAUAAGAUCUACGUGUAGAUUGAUGACGGUACUGUAAGAAUAAGGACCGGCUAACUCCGUGCCAGCAGCCGCGGUAAUACGGAGGGUCCGAGCGUUAUCCGGAAUUAUUGGGUUUAAAGGGUCCGUAGGCGGGCUGUUAAGUCAGAGGUGAAAUGCUGCGGCUCAACCGUAUGCACUGCCUUUGAUACUGGCGGUCUUGAGUUAUAGUGAAGUGGCUAGAAUAAGUAGUGUAGCGGUGAAAUGCAUAGAUAUUACUUAGAAUACCGAUUGCGAAGGCAGGUCACUAACUAUACACUGACGCUGAUGGACGAAAGCGUGGGUAGCGAACAGGAUUAGAUACCCUGGUAGUCCACGCCGUAAACGAUGGAUACUAGCUGUUCGGUUUUCGGACUGAGCGGCCAAGCGAAAGUGAUAA